GCGCUGGGAGAAGCAGCGCUAUAGACAGCCUGGUGAACCAAGCUGAGCAGCUUGAAUUUCGUCUGGAGAGCUGCAGGGGAGCCUCCGAAGGGCUGUGAGCAGGAGACUGACAUGUUUUGAUCAACUUGACCAGAGAAAUCAGGCAGAAGCAGAGCAUGUCAAAAACAGACCAAGGGGAUCAAAAUGAAAGCUUAUUGGGGCACCGAGCUGAAAAGGGUCACUCUCCUCAGGAGAGAGCAAGGCCUUUCUCAUGGGGGCCCUCCUUCCCUGGUACUCACCCCCUUGAUCCCCUUCCCAGCUGAGCCUGGAUCCCUGGGUAUUGCUUGACCUGCUUCAAAGAAGUCGUCAGAACUCCGCAGACCAGCCCUGCUCCCUCACCUCUAAGCACUUUCUUCAUCCCGACCAGCAAAGACACAGAGGGAAAAAAGGCAAAUGGAAAAUGAAGCUGUGGUCACAGGCGGAGCACUGGGCCUGCCAUCCCUUCAUAAAUUAAAUGUAAACUGUAAAAAUGGAUUAUUUCAGGCGUAAUUGCCAUUAUUUUCUAAUAUAGAAAGAGCAGGGAUGAACGCUGUGAUGGAUUACGAGCCAGAAGGAAGAGAGGCAUUUAAUUAAUUUCACGAACCUGCUGGAAAAGCCAUCCGUGUGGAGCUGAGGGGCUGCCUCAGGCCACGCCAGGCUGCAGCUGGCUCUGCCAGGCAGAGGCCCCGAGCCGGGGUCUGCCCUGGCCUGAGAGCCCUUCCAUGGUGGGCUGAGGCCUGGGUGGCCUGCAGAUGGGAAAGGAAUGGCAGGUCUGGGGCCCUGGUGCUGCCUGCCAGCGUGGGCCCAGCUCUCAGGAUGGCUCUAGAGUCCUGUCUGGAUUUGAGUGGCAGCAGAAAGGGCUGGCUUGGCAAGUGGGAGGUCAGUGGAGGACCAGAAUCUGGGCUCUGGAAGGUCAAGGUCAAGUCUGGAUGCUCAGCUGAGUCCUGAACUCAGCCUAAGCCAUGGGAACUGCAGGCGGGCUUUGAGGAGAAACCCAAGGUCACUCCUCCCGCCACUGGGCUCAGGGACCCCCGCUUCAGCUCCAGUCCUUACGAGCGAGCCCCCAUUGCCCUCUCUAGCUCUACUAACUGGAUCCUGUCUUGUCGUUUGGGUUCCUGGCCAUCAGGAUGACAAGCCAUUUGAUUUAAAACCCACCAUGCGCCCAGGUACCAUAUAGUACAUGCUCUGUGAACGCCAUCUCUUUGAGUCCCCUUGACGACCCCACGAGGGGGCGCGGUUCCCAUUUAACGUGAGAAGCUUGAGGCUCAAAGGGUUAAGCAGUUUCCCAUGUAGUGAGUGGCAGAGUCGGGAUCCAAACCCAGGUCUCUGGCCUGUCAAGCCAAUCUCUCCCCUCUGUGCCCCCAGCCACUGUCCCCCCUCUACCCCACAGUCCCCGAGGGUCCUCAUUAGACCUGUCCUGGGGUUGGGUUGCUCUAAUCGAGAGGGGAGAUUUCUGGCAUACAGUGUGGCCACUUUGAGAAGCAGCCUUUCCCAGCCACCUUCAGAGCUGGGUCCUCUCCCAACCAGACCCGCUUCCCACACCAUCGCGUGGUUGCCAAAUUGAAUGGCAAAGUGCAGAUGAAAGGACAGGCCCUCAUCCCAGGGCCCCUCUCUUUCCCCCAAUCUUCCUUUCCUAUCUCCAGCUGGCUCGUACAUUGCUCAACUGCACCCUCUAGCACUAGGCCCAGAAGAUGCAAUUUUUCCUGCACCGGAAGCCCCACUAAGCAUUUGCUAUUUGCUGGGCGCUGAGCUAAAGAUAGAAGUCAAAGGCGCGAGUCUGCCUUCAGGAAGCUCGCAGCCUAGGAGGGGAGACAGACAAGCAAACAGGUGAUGACAAAUUCUACAAACCACUGCUGGGACAGACCGAGGCAGGGGCCGAGGGGUUCCACGGAAGGGUCCAGGUGGAGGUGUGGGUAGGCAGGGGACACUUCCACAAACUCCCAAAAUGAUGAGAAGAGCAUAGAAGAGCCUUCCAGGCUGGGUGCCCAGGUCUGCUGCAGGAAGGGAGGGAGGAAGGAGCAUUUGGGGAACUGCUGAGCGCUCAGUGGGUGCAGGCUGGUGGGAGAGGAGAGAGCCGAGACCCGCACAGAGUCAAGAGUUGGGUCACAAAGGAUGUUGCAUCUUUUUUUGAAAUCCGUGGGACAUCAUUGAAAGAAUUUAGAAGCAAGAGACUGAGCGACGUGAACAAACCUCCCUUCAGAGAGAUGAAGCUAGUGUCAGCACAGAGCAAAAAGCAGAGGGCUCCCGAAAGGGGACGCUGAGGGCAGCCAGAGAAAGUGCUGGCUUAGACUAGGCUGGGGCAGUGUGGAUGGAGGGAUGGGGAGAUUUGGGCUGCUAUGGAGGUGGCAUUGGGAGUUUUUCUCAGACAGAGAUUUCCUUUAAACUAAGAAGGAAGCAGAAGAGGAAAAGCAGCUGUUUACCUUCCAGACCCCUUCCUGAUUCCCUCUGGUCCCCAGGACACGCUCGCCAUGUUUAUUUUCCUGCCCUGUCUUGGGCUGUCAGGACACGUAACUCGGAAUUGAGUGAGCAACAGCAUCCUGACACUCGUGUGAUUCAUGGUCCCUGUGACGGGCGCUCGGGAAGCUGGUGUGGCCUCGGCCGCCCCUGGCAUCUAAUUGAUUUAAUACAUCAGCUAAGGAACUGCUGUUUCCUGAAUGAAACCCAAAAUUGCAUUGACUCUUCGGCUGCAGCUGAGCGGGACUUCACUCCAGUGCUCCAAAUGCAUACACGGAGGUGGCACUGGAGUGGCAGGGACUGUCGCCAAAGGUAAUAAGCGCGCCUUUGAUCUGUUGUCUUCCCCUUCUCCUCAGGGGAAGGCACGAACACGGGAGAAAGCAAAGAGCUGCGUGGGAGGCUCUUUAGAGGGUGACGAUGGCCAUUUGUAAGAAAACAGGUUUCCCUCUACACCCCACACACACAGCGGGGUUCAGAUAAUGAACGUUGUAGAAGCAGCUCUCAUCUGAAAGGAACUAAUUGAUUCCAAUAUUCAUUUUACAGGGCCUGUAAUUCUUUGUUAUGCCUCUUUUUAUGACCUGGGAGGCUCUGGCACCGAGAUGCUGUGUAAUCCACACAAUUAUCCUUUAUUCAACAGCAGGACAAAUGGUGCUUUGUGUCAUUAAGAGGGUGCCCGACUUUCACCCCGUCACUCUUCUUUUCCCUCCCGAGACAGGUGUGUCAAUCUCGGAGCUCCACAAGCUGCUCUUCCCCUCUGAGAAGAAAGACGAGAACGGGACGCCUCAAAGGAAUUUCGGAGAUGAAUCUGAAAUCGCAGCCACCUUUCCUCCAGCUUCCAAGAUAAGCGGGCACAUCUUUGGGAAAAGCACACUUCAAGAUGGUUCCCCCGUGGCAGAUGGCUGCUGCAGCUCCAGACAUUUUCAUGGCAUUCCAGGCAAGAAGAAAUGGAAAGAGGUGACUGCAACCAUGUCUGUUCCCUUUAAUCAAGAGGGAAAAAAAACUUUUCCAGAAGCUUCUGCUAAUAGAUCAAUGGCCAUCCCUAGCUGCACGGAGGCUGGGAAAGUGAGAUUUUAACUUUUCUAGCACCAAUAGUGGAAGCAGAGCUGCUAAGACACCGCUACAAAGAUGAGACAAUGGAGACCUCUGACAAGGCUGACGUGUGGGAUGUCAUUUUUAUCCAUCAGCACAUGGUCGGCUAUGCUGUAAUCACAAGCAGCACCAAAUCUCAGUGAUUUAAUACCACACGAGUGUACUUCUCACUCACCCUACUUGCCCACUUGAAAUGCCAUCGUGGAGGACACUCAAAAAGUCCACUUGAGGCUCUGUUCCUCUCAGUCACCAUCUGGUCACACGCAUCCGGGAGUCCCACAGCUGUGGGAAGGAAACACGGAAAGCUGUGCACUAGCUCUUAAAGUUUCUGCCCAGGACACCGGUCACUUCUGCUCAUGCUGCACUGGCCAAAGUAAGUCACGUGUGCCCAGAAAGAGGAGAAGUGGGAUCCUUGUGAGCAGACCUAAUGAACUCAUCCCAACAGAGGUGGCCUGGAGCUGCCAGCCAACCAGGCUGCUGCUGCUGCUUGUAGAGGUGAAAGUCACUCACAUUUUAGUAACAAUUAGAGCACCUACCUUGUGGCGCUAGCUCACUAGAAUGUGAGCUUCAGGAGGGCAGGCAUCUCUGUCUAUUUUAACCGCUGAUGUAUCAGCACCCACAACAGUGACCGACACAAAUUAGGUCUCAACAAAUAUUUGUGGAAUGAAUUUUCAACUCAUCAAACCUCAUAACAGCCCCGAUGAAGCAGGCAUGAUAAUUAUCUGCAUUUUACAGGGGAGGACGGUGAGGAUCAGAUAAGUGAGUAAAUCACCAGAGCUCAGCACCUUGACUCAGAAGUGGGAACAGGAGUACCUGAGGGAGAGCUCGUCUCUGCUCCCUGCAUACGCUUCUCUCCCUUGUAGCAAGACGCUGCCGCCUCCCUUUAUCAGUCUGGGCAUUUCGUUGGCAGGGGUAUUCCUUGAACAUCCCCAGUCAGCUGGCUUCCGUGAAGGACUCGGUGUGUGCUGGACACUGUCACUGCUGGCCUUGGCCUUCAAGGAACGCCCGGCGAGCGUGAUCCUCCAAGGCAGAUAUUUUUGAGAUGAGGGAAAAUCCACCCCACGGAGAUGACAAUGGAGAAGAUGGCAUCUCAAAGCUCUCGAGGGCACCAGGCCUAGGGCUCCUGGGCCUGUUCGUCAUUUUUGGUAGAACCAGAAGUCAGCGCUUCUAGACCUGUCACAUCACCCAGGGGGGGUGGGCGUCAGCUGGUUUUGCCCUGUGGCAUUUGUUCCCCUUUCUGCUGGCCACCCCACCCCAUCUCCCCCUGAGGACCUGGUCUCCCCUGGGUGCAGCCUGGCAGUCCUGUCCAUCCAGGUGUCCUGCCUUCUGCUGGCCAAGGAGCGGGGGUCUCCAGAGGUUGAUGUAAUGACGUGGACCCCUCCUGGUGCUGGUUCCCUGGCAAAGGUGUUCAGUGGGGUCUGCUGCCCUGCUCUCGGACCCCUGUCUGGUUCUUGACCCUAUCCUCCAGCUCUGUGAGCACCCCGCCCCCCUCCAUCCUAUAAAUCCCUUUCUGCAGAGCUCAGCCAGACUUGCAAGUCUGCUGCAUGCAACCAAAAUAACUUAACUGAGGCGGGCAGGGUUACUAAUUCCAGAGCUGGAGGGCAGCUCCGAGACCAUUUGAUCCAACCCUUUUAUCCUAUAGCUGAACAAAUUGAGGCCUAAGAGUAAAUUGAAGUCUGGAGAGUGGACACAUAAUGGCAGGAGCGCUGAGUGCUUUCUGUGAGUCAGCCGUUCUGCUAAGCGUCCCCGACAACCCCACAGCCCAAUCCCAGGAUGGCUUCCCGUUUUGGAGAUAGGAGACCAGAGCACAAAAGUGCUGGGCAACUUUCCCAAGUCCCACAGCACCAAAGUGGUAGGGCGAGUGCCUGAGUCCAGGCGAUUUGGUUCCAGAGCCCAGGCUGUCCCCUGAUGGGCUCUCUUCCUGUCCUGGUUUGCCCCGGGACAAACAGCUGCACGAAGACUGGCCCCCCCGGGGCUCCUGGGUCCUGCACAGGUCGGACCAGGUCUUCAUUGGAUCUGUGGUCAACAGGUUGGUACCAGACUCGCGUGGGGGUCUUCCCUCCCACCCUCCUUUCCUUCCUGGUUUCUCUGGGUCUGGUGGGGUCCCCAGUUUUCUGUUUUGAGGGCUGUUUUUGAAAGCAAGGUGAGCAACUGGGCAAUUCAGGAGUCUUCUACAGGCCCACGGGCGUCUCCUGUCACCAUGGUCGGGAGAGCCUGCCCAUCCCCAGAGGGGCCAGGCCCGGGGCCCCAUAGGGUCGGGCCCCACAGAGCUCCCAGAAGGUCACCUUUCCCUCUGGGGGCCUGCAUCAUGCCUGGGCUCUGCAGGGUGUGCCGUGGGCAGGUCCCACGGAGCAGGUGCAUGGAGGAGGCGCUUGCCGGGUCCUACACAAGAGCAGGGCCUCCUCCAACCCCCAUGGAGGCCUUGGCGAGGCUCCUGCUGGCUCUCGCCUCACUACCCACUUCUUCCCAGGUAGCCCGCUUCCAAGACCUCAGCCUGGCCUCUCGCAGCCUCCCCACCCCGGGAGGGAGGAGCCACCCUUCUUGCUCCCUUUCGGUAACCCGAAAAUGCCAGCCGGGCGGGCCUCACCCAAAUGCCGGAAGUUCCCCUCUCCUUCAGCUCCAGGAGGGGAGAGAUGAGCUUCGGCUUCUUGCAAGGCCUCCCGGUCCAGCGGCGUGGGCGGAGCCUCCUUCCCGGUUCCCGGAGAGGCAAGCCCCUCACCGGCCCGCCGCGAUCAUUCUGGGGCAGCCGGUGCCCAUGUCACUCUGUCAGCCGGGCUCUCAUCUUGCCCCUCGUGAAGAAGGAACCCUAGGAUUUUGCAUCAGGGGACAUGGCCUCGUUUUCUAAGUUUCGAUGCGUGUCUGCACGUGGCUGGUUCCCUGCUUCCCGAGAGUGGGAGCCGGGUCAGGGGUUUCUGCUCUCUUCUCUGGAGGGGGGAGGGGCUUUCUGGUUGUCUCCGCACACCGUCACCCACCCCGCAGAUAUUUAGGAGGAGAUGACAGGGUGCGUGAUGAUGCGCAGGGCGGGCCUCACCUCCGCGAGCGCUGAGCAGAGCAGACAGGCAUUAAACACGCAGUGACAGGCCGGGCGGGAGCAUCACAGUGCCACACGGCAGGCAGCCAGCGGACCGAGCCGUGGGGAAGGCCUCUUCCCGGAGGGGAGGUUUAAGCUGAUGUGUGGGGAGACCCGUGUGGUUUAGCAGGAAGAGAUAGGUGGGGUGGGGAGGGGACAAUCCAGACAGAGCAUGGGUCCCCUGACAAGCAGAGCAAAGAUCAGAAUGGCUAAAACUGGAGUUCAAGAGGCUGAGGGCAAAGACCUUUAAUUCAGCAGUUCAUUGAUACCCACGUGUUCUAGGUGCUGGGAGAGAGGGAGCUGGAAGGCUGGCCAGGUUGUGGGAGGACAGAGGGGUUCAAACGUUAUGCCGAGAGCAAUGGGAGCAAUUACAUCAUUUAAGCAAAGGAAUACUAGGGUUCACUCCCACCUUGGGGAACUCACUCUGGGUACCGUGUGGAGCUGGGAUCGGCAGAGGUGAGGCUGGAGGCAUGGAGGCUCCAUCAGGAGGCUGUCGUGUAAGCCAGAUGACACACAGGUGGCUUGGACUAAGGCGGUGAGAAGAAAAUGGAGAGGAAUGGGUGGCUUUGUGAGAUACUUAGGAAGUAGAAUCAAUAGGUGGCAAGGAGAGAGAGAAGAUUUAAUAAAAUGUUGCCUUGGGCCUAGUGGUUAAGUUCAGAGUGUUCCACUUCGUCAGCCGUGGUUUGGUUCCUGGAUGUGGACCUACACCAUUCGGUUAACAGCCAUGCUGUGCUGGCAGCCCACAUACUAAAAAA